rnacentral:rRNA from 1 species
GAAAGCGAGCUACUGGACAAUUCCUGACGCUGAGGCUCGAAGGCUAGGGUAGCGAAAGGGAUUAGAUACCCCUGUAGUCCUAGCAGUAAACGGUGUACGCUUGGUGUGAGGGGAAUCGACCCCCCUUGUGCCGGAGCUAACGCGUUAGGCGUGCCGCCUGGGAAGUACGGUCGCAAGACUAAAACUCAAAGAAAUUGACGGGGACCCGCACAAGCGGUGGAGUAUGUGGCUUAAUUCGAUGCAACGCGAAGAACCUUACCAAGGCUUGACAUGCAUCUCUAAACACGUGAAAGCGUGUGACCCUUCGGGGAAUUUGCACAGGUGCUGCAUGGCCGUCGUCAGCUCGUGUCGUGAGAUGUUGGGUUAAGUCCCGCAACGAGCGCAACCCUUGUGAUUAGUUGCCAGCACGUUAAGGUGGGAACUCUAGUCAGACUGCCCAGAUCAACUGGGAGGAAGGUGGGGACGACGUCAGGUCAGUAUGGCCCUUACGCCUUGGGCUGCACACGUACUACAAUGCCCAGCACAAUGAGAACCGAUACCGCGAGGUGGAGGAAAUCUGUAAAACUGGGCUCAGUUCGGAUUGGAGGCUGCAACUCGCCUCCAUGAAGUUGGAAUCGCUAGUAAUGGGGCAUCAUCUACGGCCCCGUGAAUACGUUCCCGGGUCUUGUACACACCGCCCGUCACAUCAUGGAA